CCAUAAAGGCUCGAUAGGACUCCUUCUUCAGCUUGACGGCAUCCCUUACUGCUGGUGUCCACCAGCGAGUACGAGGGUUGCCGCCACGACAGGCACCAACCACCUUACGGCCACAACUCAGAUUGGCCGCCUCAACAAUAGAGGCACGGAACAUGGUCCACUCGGACUCAAUGUCCCCCGCCUCCCCCGGAACAUGGGAAAAGCUCUGUCGGAGGUGGGAGUUGAAACUCCUUCUGACAGGGGAUUCCGCCAGACGCUCCCAACAAACCCUCACUAUACGUUUGGGUCUGCCAGGACGGACCGGCAUCUUCCCCCACCAUCGGAGCCUACUCACCACCAGGUGGUGAUCAGUUGACAGCUCCGCCCCUCUCUUCACCCGAGUGUCCAGAACAUGCGGCCGCAAAUCCGAUGAUACAACUACAAAGUCGAUCAUCGAACUGCGGCCUAGGGUGUCCUGGUGCCAAGUGCACAUAUGGACACCCUUAUGCUUUAACGAGGUGUUCGUUAUGGACAAUCCGUGACGAGCACAGAAGUCCAAUAACAAAUCACCACUCGGGUUCUGAUCGGGGGGGCCGUUCCUCCCAAUCACGCCCCUCCAGGUAUCACUGUCAUUCCCCACGUGAGCAUUGAAGUCCCCCAGCAGAACAAGGGAGUCCCCAGCAGGAGUACUCUCCAGCACACCCUCCAAGGACUCCAAAAAGGGUGGGUAUGCUGAGCUGCUGUUUGGUGCAUAUGCACAAACAACAGUCAGGACCCGUCCAGCCACCCGAAGGCGGAGGGAGGCAACCCUCUCGUCUACCAGUGUGAACCCCAAUGUACAGGCACUGAGCCGGGGGGCAAUGAGUAUGCCCACACCUGCUCUGCGCCUCUCACCGUGAGCAACUCCAGAGUGGAAGAGAGUCCAACCCCUCUCGAGAGAACUGGCACCAGAACCCAGGCUGUGUGUGGAGGCAAGUCCGACUAUAUCCAGUCGGAAAUUCUCUGCCUCACACACCAGCUCGGGCUCCUUCCCUGCCAGAGAGGUGACAUUCCAUGUCCCAAGAGCUAGCUUCUGCAGCCGAGGAUCGGACCGCCAGGGUCCCCGCCUUUGGCUGCCGCCCAGCUCACAUUGCACCCGACCCAUUUGGCCCCUCUCAUGGGUGGUGAGCCCAUGGGAAGG